rnacentral:rRNA from 1 species
AUACGUAGGUGGCAAGCGUUGUCCGGAAUUAUUGGGCGUAAAGGGCGCGCAGGCGGUUUCAUAAGUCUGAUGUGAAAUCCCACGGCUCAACCGUGGAAGGUCAUUGGAAACUGUGAGACUUGAGUACAGAAGAGGAGAGUGGAAUUCCACGUGUAGCGGUGAAAUGCGUAGAGAUGUGGAGGAACACCAGUGGCGAAGGCGGCUCUCUGGUCUGUUACUGACGCUGAGGCGCGAAAGCGUGGGUAGCGAACAGGAUUAGAUACCCUGGUAGUCCACGCUGUAAACGAUGAGUGCUAGGUGUUGGGGGCUUCCACCCUCAGUGCCGGAGUUAACACAUUAAGCACUCCGCCUGGGGAGUACGGCCGCAAGGCUGAA